rnacentral:rRNA from 1 species
AACGAACGCUGGCGGCAGGCCUAACACAUGCAAGUCGAGCGGACCCUCCGGGGUUAGCGGCGGACGGGGUAGUAACGCGUGGGAAUAUUCACUUCUCUAUGGAAUAGUCCUGGGAAACUGGGGGUAAUACCGUAUACGCCCUUUUGGGGAAUGAUUUAUCGGGGCAGGAUUAUCCCGCGUUGGAUUAGGUGGUUGGUGGGGUAAUGGCCUACCAAGCCGAGAAUCCAUAGCUGGUUAGAGAGGAAGGUCAGCGACACUGAGAGGAGGACGCGGCCGAGAAUCCUACGGGAGGGAGGAAAGGGGGAUCGUGGAAAAUGGGGGGAGCGAUGAAGGAGCCAGGAUGGGUGAGUGAUGUAGGUCGGAAAGAAGAAAAGCGCUUUCAGCUGGGAGGGUAAUGACGGUACCAAAAGAAGAAGCCCCGGCUAACUACGUG